AGUGAACGCUGGCGGUAGGCCUAACACAUGCAAGCCGAACGGCAGCACAGUAAGAGCUUGCUCUUACGGGUGGCGAGUGGCGGACGGGUGAGGAAUACAUCGGAAUCUACUUUUUCGUGGGGGAUAACGUAGGGAAACUUACGCUAAUACCGCAUACGACCUACGGGUGAAAGCAGGGGAUCUUCGGACCUUGCGCGAUUGAAUUAGCCGAUGUCGGAUUAGCUAGUUGGCGGGGUAAAGGCCCACCAAGGCGACGAUCCGUAGCUGGUCUGAGAGGAUGAUCAGCCACACUGGAACUGAGACACGGUCCAGACUCCUACGGGAGGCAGCAGUGGGGAAUAUUGGGCAAUGGGCGCAAGCCUGAUCCAGCCAUACCGCGUGGGUGAAGAAGGCCUUCGGGUUGUAAAGCCCUUUUGUUGGGAAAGAAAAGCAGCAGGUUAAUACCCCGCUGUUCUGACGGUACCCAAAGAAUAAGCACCGGCUAACUUCGUG
rnacentral:rRNA from 1 species